rnacentral:rRNA from 1 species
UACUCACCGCCCGUCAAGUCAGGGGAGUUGGGAGUGCCCGAAGCGCAUCCUCGUGAUGCAUCAAGGCAAGCUCAAUGACAAAAGACU